AUACACAGAGAACCACGUGGAGGAAAAGCACGCGAGUUUGGAGCGGGUGGAGCAGGAACAGAGGUGGACUGGAAUGUCACACGACGGGGCAGCUGGAAGGGCACCACUGAGUUCAGUACUUCAAAAUUGCCGUGCUCUACCUCUCCCCAGUGCACAAAAACACUCUCCACACCAAGCUGCUGCUGCUGGGGGAUGGAGGGAUGGCGUCAGCGAUUCAAGACUGUUUUUCCUACCUGUUCAGCACUUCUUUCAGCGAUAUGAAGUUAAAUCCAGGCCAAGUUCCCACCUGGUGGGAAGCACUGUGCAGGUUCGUGGGGAUGCAGCCCUGCACAGCCCAGACUGGACUCCUUCCCCAUGGAACUCACAACACACGGGAGAGGCAGAGAGAUCCAAGCGCACAGAAAAACACAAGAAGAUUCAGCCCUGUCAUCUUGUGCAAAGUGCACGCGAAGGCCUCAACCAUCUGGAGAACACCUGCUGCAACAGAGUCACACAGGCUAGAGUGCAGUGGCAUGAUCUCAGCUCCCCACAACCUCUGCCUCCGAUGUUCAAGCGAUUCUCCUGUCUCAGCCUCCUGAGUAGCUGGAAUUACAGGAAUGGACACUUCCAACAACCCUG
rnacentral:lncRNA from 1 species